AUUGAACGCUGGCGGAAUGCUUUACACAUGCAAGUCGAACGGCAGCACGGACUUCGGUCUGGUGGCGAGUGGCGAACGGGUGAGUAAUACAUCGGAACGUGCCCAGUCGUGGGGGAUAACGUAGCGAAAGCUACGCUAAUACCGCAUACGAUCUAAGGAUGAAAGCGGGGGAUCGCAAGACCUCGCGCGAUUGGAGCGGCCGAUGGCAGAUUAGGUAGUUGGUGGGGUAAAGGCCUACCAAGCCGACGAUCUGGAGCUGGUCUGAGAGGACGACCAGCCACACUGGAACUGAGGCACGGCCCAGACGCCUACGGGAGGCAGCAGUGGGGAAUUUUGGACAAUGGGCGCAAGCCUGAUCCAGCCAUUCCGCGUGCAGGAUGAAGGCCCUCGGGUUGUAAACUGCUUUUGUACGGAACGAAAAGGCUCUGGUUAAUACCCGGGGCUCAUGACGGUACCGUAAGAAUAAGCACCGGCUAACUACGUGCCAGCCGCCGCAGUAA
rnacentral:rRNA from 1 species